GUGAGUCAUAAAACUUGUUCCUGCAAAUAGUUCCCCUUGAUGAUGCAGAUGAUUUCCAAUGCCUUUACACAAGGCCUGGAAUUUACAAGAUUACCGGUGGCGCCAGAGGGAGAUAAGAGACACCGAUUCCGGGCAAAGUAUAGUACAAUUAAUGGCAAAUUUGGAACGGAGGCGACUACCGACGAUAGCCCUAGAGUCGCAAAGAGUGCAAUCUCGGCGAACGUGAGGCGGUGGGGUGCGUUCACCUGGCGCCGGCGUACCUGCUGAUCCGGCGACAACUCUAUCUAUAUUCCAAUAAUACUAUUCGCAAGUCACGAGCUCAACGACCACACAACUAACACGUAGAGACGCGUUCCGAGGAUAACCAUCGAUCGCUUUCGCCUUCAAACUCUAUAAUUAUUAUUGCUGCCAAUUUUUGUUUGGCGGCCAGCAGGCGUUAAAUUAUGAUUUCCAUAAUGUUUAUGAAGACAAGAUGCGUUUGGCCAGUGGGUGGCGGGCAUGGUGGCCGGGAGCUGCAGGCGGAUAGCCAAAUCGGGCAGACAGGCCAGGCGUAAUCACAAUCAUAAUAAUAAUAAACACAUCCGAUCGACGGCCAGCACGUGUGUGGCUUUGCUCUGUCUUGGGCUGAUUUCUUGCUUUGGUAAUGACCCAAAUUUCCGGAGCUGUGCGCUAAAUACGCCUAAUGG